AUACGUAGGUGGCAAGCGUUGUCCGGAUUUACUGGGUGUAAAGGGCGUGUAGGCGGAGAUGCAAGUCAGGAGUGAAAUCUAGGGGCUCAACCCCUAAACUGCUUUUGAAACUGUAUCCCUUGAGUAUCGGAGAGGCAGGCGGAAUUCCUAGUGUAGCGGUGAAAUGCGUAGAUAUUAGGAGGAACACCGGUGGCGAAGGCGGCCUGCUGGACGAAAACUGGCGCUGAGGCGCGAAAGCGGGGGGAGCAAACAGGAUUAAAUACCCUGGUAGGCCACGCCGUAAACGAUGAAUACUAGGUGUAGGGGGUAUCGACUCCCUCUGUGCCGCAGUUAACACAAUAAGUAUUCCGCCUGGGGAGUACGGCCGCAAGGUUGAAACUCAAAUGAAUUGACGGGG
rnacentral:rRNA from 1 species